UACGUAGGGUGCAAGCGUUGUCCGGAAUUAUUGGGCGUAAAGAGCUCGUAGGCGGUCUGUCGCGUCGGCUGUGAAAACCCGGGGCUCAACCCCGGGCCUGCAGUCGAUACGGGCAGACUAGAGUGCGGUAGGGGAGACUGGAAUUCCUGGUGUAGCGGUGAAAUGCGCAGAUAUCAGGAGGAACACCGAUGGCGAAGGCAGGUCUCUGGACCACUACUGACGCUGAGAAGCGAAAGCAUGGGGAGCGAACAGG
rnacentral:rRNA from 1 species